GCCCCGAAUACUAGCUAGCGUUGUUAGCUAAGUUAACCGGUCCGCGCUAGCUUCGUCUAUGUUGCACGGAGUGGGACCUGUUGCGUCACAACACCCAUGCAGUGUUUUGUCUGAAGAUUCCCCCUCUCUGAUGAACAGGGAAACUUUUUUCCAAGUCCCAAAAAAAAAUUGGAUACUGCGACCUAGACCGGAGGGACAAGAUGGACAGUUAUCCACUGAGCACUAGGGGGGAGCGAGACGACCACCAUUCAACUUGAAGAAAGUCAUAUAUCCAUUCCAAUGGCUCCGAAGCUGUUCAGUUAAGGGAGCUGCCCUUCUGGAAGACUUUGGAGCAAAGGUCACAUGGGUAGACGCCGUUUUCCAGCCGCCGCUUCUUCAUCAGCGCAGCUGAGUCCGAGUCGUUCUGCUCCUCCACCGUGGAGACGGCGUCAGAGCUGCUCUCCAGCCUCUUUCCCUGCUGUAAACGGAAAAAAAUGGCAUUCAUCGUUGUGGUCAAAUACUGUAAUGGCAUGUGUUGGGUGAGGGCAAUAAACCUAAAAGUAAA